UUUGUGUGGAGAUUCCAGACGCUUUCGCUGUUCGUAGCGCUGCUCCUCAGAUCCUGGGGUUGGAUUGUGCGUCCCUGAAGCUAAGCUGCCAGAGUGCACUGUGCAUUUCCAAGAACAAGAAAAGAUGGAUAAAUCUCCGCACUGACUUUUGCCAAAGUGCCUACAUGGGGACUACACUACUGCAUCUACCUGAAACCAGUACUAAAACACCCAUUCAAUAGUCAGUAUAAAAUACAUCAGCAAAAUGACUCCCUCUCCUCAAAGCCCACUGUGGAGUAUUGGGAAAAAAUAACUGUUCUACCGGGUUACUAGAGACCAAUGUAGAGAUACUAGAAAUAUGAAAAAUAAAACUUAUGACACUACCAAAGGAAUAUGAUUUUCAUGUACGUAUAGAGCAAGAAGUCAUUGAAAUGACUGAAAAGGAAUUUCAAGCAACAAUCCCAAGGGCCCUCAAUGAGGUAGAAGAUGACUGAGAAAGCAAAACAAAAUGAGAAAAGUAUCCAGAAUCUGAAGGAGGAAAUGUACAAAGAGACUAUUGCCCUAAAAAAAGAAUGUAGCAAAAUUCAUGGAAAUGUCAUUAGAUGAUAUCUGAAACACAACUAAGAGUUUUAAGAGCAUGCUAGAAUGAGCAGAAGAAUGAAUGCAUGAUCCUGAAGACAGACUUUUCAAAAUAACAUAAGUGGACCAAAAAGAAAAAAGAAAAAAAAAGAAAGAAAGAAUAAAAGAAAUUUUAAAAAAGGAAGAAAGUCACAGAGAACAAGCAGACAACCUGAAGCCACACUAACAUCUGAAUCAUGUGUGUUCCAGAAUGGGAGGGAAAAGGAAAAGGCAUUGAAAAUAUGUUCAAUUAGGUAAAAACACAAAACUUGCCAGGUAUAGGGAGAGAAUGGAUUUUCAGCUGGAGUAGACUCAAGAUCUCAGAACCAUUUCAAUCCAAAAAGGUCCUCUGCAAGGUACAUCAUAAUGAAGUUGGAAAAGCUCAAAGACGGAAUCUUAAAAGCAAUAAGGCAGAAAGAUCAAGUUCGUAUUAGAGAGCCACCAUCAGACUAACAACAGAUUUUUCAUCAGAAACCCUAAAGGCAAGAAGAGAAUAGGGGGAUAUAUUCAAAAUACUAAAAGACAAAAUUUGCCAUCAAAGACUAUACCCAGCAAUCUAUCCUUUGGAAAUGAGGGAGAAAAAAAUAUAUUUUCCAUAAAAACAAGUACUAUGGGUGUUCACCACCACAUAACCAGCCCUACAAGAUAUUCUGAAAGGUAUACUACAUCACCUAUCUGAGCAAUAAUC